rnacentral:rRNA from 1 species
UACGGAGGAUACAAGCGUUAUCCGGAUUUAUUGGGUUUAAAGGGUACGUAGGCGGUUUGCCAAGCGGGAGGUGAAAUGCCGGCGCUCAACGUCGGAAGUGCCUCCCGAACUGGUGGACUGGAGUUACUCUGCCGUGGGAGGAAUGUGUAGUGUAGCGGUGAAAUGCUUAGAGAUUACACAGAACACCGAUUGCGAAGGCAUCUCACGAAGGGUUGAUUGACGCUGAGGCACGAAAGCGUGGGGAUCAAAC